AUGUUUGGUGGAAGCUUAUAAGUCAUGCCAGCUAAUCUCCUUUACUCCAUUAAACUAUUCUUUUGCUGAAAAGUCGUUUCUUUUCUUUUUGUGCUUUUCCUUCUCAAUUAUUUUAUCAACUCCAACUCUGUCUGUUCCACUACACUUUGGCCUUCACUGGAAAGUAGUGGUACUUAAAUGUCAUUAAAAGUUAAGUGAUCUUUGCAGGUAUGAUGCAGGUGGUGUGAUCUACAACCCCUGGGAUUAGCUCACUCUUGUUUGCUUGCUUGCUUUGUCUUUGAUGAUUGGGGUUAUCAUUUAGGACUUUGGAAUUUGCACAACAGCACAAGUACAAAAAGCAGAUAAAUUAUGCCUUUACUUUGGAAAGGAAAGGGCUCUGUACCUUUGGGGGUUAUAUAGGGUUAUGGCCGAGUAGUUGUUGUUGCACCAAUUUUUGAAGGCAAGAUGGGGGAGACGGCAGCUUCCAAUCCUGCUUUGCAAGUGUCUGUUUCGUUCGGUAGAUUUGAGAACGAUUCCUUGUCUUGGGAGAAAUGGUCUGCUUUCUCACCAAAUAAGUACUUGGAAGAAGUUGAGAAGUGUGCCACACCUGGAUCAGUUGCUCAGAAGAAAGCUUACUUUGAAGCUCAUUACAAGAACGUUGCUGCACGGAAAGCCGAAUUGCUUGCUCAAGAGAAGCAGACGGAGAAAGCUUCUGUUAAGACACAAUAUCAAAACGAUGAAGAUCUGAGUUGUAACAGUUGUGUGACCGAUGCAGAAUGUGAUAUUUCCAAUGCUCAAGGUUCUAGUGAAGGGGUUAAGCAAGAAAUCAAUUCAGUCGGUGAGAUUGUUAGGACUGAUGUGAGUAAUUUGGAGUAUGCUGCAGUUUCAAGAGAUUAUCAAGGUUCAUCAGUUGAGGGAGAAAAAGUGAAUGAUAAACUGGAGAGAAGAUCAGGUGGUGGUUCCCUGAUAGAGAAAAAACAGGAAGAAGUUGUCUGCGUUGAACAAGGAGGGAGUAAAGAAGAAAGUCCUAACAUUGAAGCUGAAGGUUUGAAGGAAGUUUCACACAAUGUAAACAAUGAGCCAGUAAAGGCUUCAGAAAUUGAAGCACAAUAUAAGACCUUGGAUAAUCCAAAGGCAUCUAAGAAGUUUGGACAGGUUACUCCAGUGAGCAGAGAAAGUAAUGCAACAAAGGGGAAGAAGAAAUCCGUGCAACCUACGUCUAAGCCUAAGGCAUCUCGAAUUUCCACUCCUAGGAAUCCAAAGCCAUCAUCAACUCCCACCAAAACAUUUGCAUCUGCAUCUUCAACUAAAAAGGAAAUUUCUCCAUCAAUAUCUGGGAGGGAAACUGCUUCCACUGCAGAGAACAGAAAAGUUCCUAAUAAAACUUUGCACAUGUCCCUUAGCUUGGGUCCAAGCCAAUCUGAACCUGCUCCGCGUACUACAGUGAGGAAAUCUUUGAUUAUGGAGAGAAUGGGGGAUAAGGACAUAGUCAAACGAGCAUUCAAGACGUUUCAGAAUAAUUUCAAUCAGCCCAAAACUUCUGGUGAAAACAAAUCUUUGGUAAAAGAAAAGGUUCCUUCAAAGGUGACAGAGCCAAGGAAUCUGACAUCUAUAUCUCUGCGAAAGGAAUACGGGCAGUCACCCAAGGUUGACAGUGCUGGUAAAAGAAGUGGGAAUACUGCACGAACUGCUUUCGGCCUAAAAACUGAUGUUAAAGCAGAGAAAGGAAAAGAGUUUCCAAGAAAAAUAGAAGAAAAUUUUUAUGCAAAAGAGGUAGAAAGAACGCAUCAUCAAUCGAAAUCAAAGGAGGAAAAGAUAAAACAUAAUAUCAAGGCCACUUCCUUGCCAGCUUUUCACCAGGGUCAGAAAGCAUCCAAAAACCAUUCACAGAAGGAAUAAGAAAACAGCUGUAUGAUCUAGCCAUCUUAUUUUGCUCUAAAAAGGACAACCUAUUUUCUGCCCAAUGAGCAUAGUGAUUCAGCAGUUAGUGGAGGGUCACAUAAGAGAUAAUGAUGAAAGUUCAUAAGGAGGAAAUUAAGAUGGAGAAAUGGAGGUAGCCUAAGAAGCAUGACAAAAAGAGGUUGAAAACAUUAUGAUAUCUUAGUCUGGUCACACUAUGAUAUCUUAGUUUAGUCUGCAACAGGAGAACAAUUAUCUAGUUAUAUAGGACUAUAGGAGCUGAUGAACAAUGUAAGGAGUAGGAAAGAGCAAAGCAUCAAUUAUUGGUAAUAAAUUUGGUGUGAGAAACAAUGUUGUAUAACUAUAAUGUCCAAUGUGAGAAUGAGAAUGCAUGAAUUUUCUUA